UGCCCAGUAACUCCUACCCCUACCUCCUCACGGUACUGGCCGGGGUACGAGUAACCUUAGGGAAGAUCUUAUAACCAACCCCGGUGGGAACUUUGGUCAUAUGCUGACAGGGAAGG
rnacentral:ribozyme from 1 species